GUUGGCUCUACCUCAAGCCUACAGCCUCCUCACCAGGCCUGGAGACGCAGGCACACAAGUUAGUGAGGCGAUGGAGCGACGGUAUGUCCCAUACUGUCAGGUAUAUAUAAGCAGUAAGAAGUGCUGAAAAGCAUUUUCAGACCAGCUGAACUGUCUGGAAGAAAGCCAAGCCCACCGAACUGCACAGAAAUGGUGGAGAGCAGCUGGUCUACCAGAAAAGGACACUCUGCAACCUGAAAAAGAAGGUAAGACCCGGUGCCUGAAGACACAACACACUUCAUAUACAGGAUUUGGAGGAAUGGUUAUAGAUCUGACCUGGAAGCCUCCUCCCUGAUGACCAACUCUCCUAGUAUCAGAAGAAGCUGUGCAAGCUUCCAAGGAGAAAUGCAUCCCAUAGUCCUAUCCAGCUCUGACGCCAACAUACCACAACAGUGGCCAGCACAGCAAGAUGUCAUGAGAGAUGCAACAGUGGCCCUGUCUUCUAGGGGUAACCAACAGCCACAGACUAAGACUUAACACCCACUGACGGGAAGGAAUUCAUGCCUGGCUCUGUAACUUUAGCCAAGUACUUGUGGCUGGUGAGGACAUGGAACCUGGAGGAGAACCCACUACUUCCCGCUUUCCUGAACCAGUAUAAUUCCUACUGCGUUGUAAAGACUUACAUUCUUCUACCACAGCUAAUUGUAGCUCCCCCGCCCCCAUCAAUGAGGCGUGUUUUUUUUUUCAGUAGACUAAAACAACUAGAGAAAGCCAUAACGGGUCAAAAUGAAGAGGUCAAAAUGAAGAGGUCAACUGACUGUAAGAUAACUACACCCAAUUAACGCAUUAACAAGGCACCCUGUACACCUAAGGCUCUGGGGUGGAAAGACUGCAAGAGCCGGAGGACCAAGAUGGCUGCUGCAAGAUAGAUUCUUCAAACAAGCAACACGGAGGAGGAUCUGGAAAAAGCUGGGAAGAACGG